rnacentral:rRNA from 1 species
CAGUCGCCGCGGGAACACGUAGGUGGCAAGCGUUGUCCGGAAUUAUUGGGCGCAAAGGGCUCGCAGGCGGUUUCUUAAGUCUGAUGUGAAAGCCCCCGGCUCAACCGGGGAGGGUCAUUGGAAACUGGGAAACUUGAGUGCAGAAUAGGAGAGUGGAAUUCCACGUGUAGCGGUGUAAUGCGUAGAGAUGUGGAGGAACACCAGUGGCGAAGGCGACUCUCUGGUCUGUAACUGACGCUGAGGAGCGAAAGCGUGGGGAGCGAACAGGAUUAGAUACCCCCGUAGUCCCUGUCUCUUAUAC